AUGGCGAAGCACACUACCCUCCUCCUUGUACCAAUAGUAGCCAUCCUUCUCACUGCCACCGCUGCCACCCUGGCCAAGGCCCCUGCCCCCACAGCCAACAAGCCGACGGCGUACGAAAUGCUAGGGCGAUAUGGCUUCCCACCGGGCAUCCUCCCGGAGGGAGUGCAUGACUAUGAGCUUCGACCGAACGGCUCCUUUGAGGUACACUUCUCCGAUGAAUGCAAAUUUCGUGUUGACGGCCAAUACGACGUCCACUACAGCACCCGGGUCGCCGGGAACAUAAAAAAUGACACGAUCAGCGGCCUCGAAGGCAUUAAGGUGAAGGUCUUUAUUGCGUGGGCUAGCAUAAAGGAGGUUGGCCGCGAUGGGGAUGAGCUUAGGCUACUCGCUGGGAUCAUAUCCAAGUCAUUCCCGGAUUGA
rnacentral:rRNA from 1 species